AGUGAACGCUGGCGGUAGGCCUAACACAUGCAAGUCGAACGGAAGCACACUAAUGGCUUGCUUUUACGGGUGGCGAGUUGCGGACGGGUGUGGAAUACAUCAGAAUCUACUUUUUCGCCGGGCAUAACGUAGGGAAACUUACGCGAAUACCGCAUACCACCUACGAGUGACAGCAGGGGUUCUUCGAACCUUGCGCGAAUGAAUGAGCCGAUGUCGGAUUAGCUAGUUGGCGGGGUAAAGGCCCACCAAGGCGACGAUCCGUAGCUGGUCUCAGAGGAUGAUCAGCCACACUGGAACUGAGACACGGUCCAGACUCCUACGGGAGGCAGCAGUGGGGAAUAUUGCACAAUGGGCGCAAGCCUGAUCCAGCAAUACCGCGGGGGUCCAGAAGGACUUCCGCUUGUAAAGCCGUUUUGUUGGGAGAGAAAAGAAGCAGGUUAAUACCCAGAUGUUCUGACGGUACCGAAAGAAUAAGCACCGGCUAACUACGUG
rnacentral:rRNA from 1 species